rnacentral:rRNA from 1 species
UACAGAGGGUGCAAGCGUUGUUCGGAAUUAUUGGGCGUAAAGCGCGUGUAGGCGGCUUUGCAAGUCGGGUGUGAAAGCCCUCAGCUCAACUGAGGAAGUGCGCCCGAAACUGCAGAGCUUGAGUGCCGGAGAGGGUGGCGGAAUUCCCCAAGUAGAGGUGAAAUUCGUAGAUAUGGGGAGGAACACCGGUGGCGAAGGCGGCAUCCUGGACCGGUAUUGACGCUGAGGCGCGAAAGCCAGGGGAGCAAACGGG